UACGAAGGGGGCUAGCGUUGCUCGGAAUCACUGGGCGUAAAGCGCACGUAGGCGGCUUUCUAAGUCAGGGGUGAAAAUCCUGGAGCUCAACUCCAGAACUGCCUUUGAUACUGGAAAGCUUGAGUUCGGGAGAGGUGGGUGGAACUGCGAGUGUAGAGGUGAAAUUCGUAGAUAUUCGCAAGAACACCAGUGGCGAAGGCGGCUCACUGGCCCGUUACUGACGCUGAGGUGCGAAAGCG
rnacentral:rRNA from 1 species